AUGAGUUGUGAUAGGGUUUUUUGAUGCUGGCAGUCUAUGAUUCUAUCUUGGAUGCAUGUGCUCGCCCUAACAAAUCAUUUUCCCAAACACCCUGUGCACAUUUUGAGGGAAUUUUGGGUCGAUUGCUGUCUUUGCAGUAGUUAGGCACAGUUCCCUUCAAAUUCACUUAUACGCUAUCGAUAAUAUUGAACGUGUUCUGUGCCGCAAGGCCAUUAAUAAUAAUA
rnacentral:misc_RNA from 1 species